rnacentral:rRNA from 1 species
UACGUAGGGGGCAAGCGUUGUCCGGAUUUAUUGGGCGUAAAGAGCGUGUAGGCGGCCAAGUAAGUCUGCUGUGAAAACUCGAGGCUUAACCUCGAGAUGUCGGCGGAAACUAUUUGGCUAGAGUCCGGAAGAGGAGAAUGGAAUUCCCGGUGUAGCGGUGAAAUGCGCAGAUAUCGGGAAGAACACCCGUGGCGAAGGCGGUUCUCUGGGACGGUACUGACGCUGAGACGCGAAAGCGUGGGGAGCGAACAGG